rnacentral:misc_RNA from 1 species
GAUGAAGAACGCAGCGAAAUGCGAUAAUUAAUGUGAAUUGCAGAAUUCAGUGAAUCAUCGAAUCUUUGAACGCACAUUGCGCCCGCCAGCAUUCUGGCGGGCAUGCCUGUUCGAGCGUCAUUUCAACCCUCGAGCCCCCCCGGGGGCCUCGGUGUUGGGGGACGGCACACCAGCCGCCCCCGAAAUGCAGUGGCGACCCCGCCGCAGCCUCCCCUGCGUAGUAGCACACACCUCGCACCGGAGCGCGGAGGCGGUCACGCCGUAAAACGCCCAACUUUCUUAGAGUUGACCUCGGAUCAGGUAGGAAUACCCGCUGAACUUAAGCAUAUCAAUAAGCGGAGGA